rnacentral:rRNA from 1 species
UGGAGGAAAGUAGGGGAUCGAAAGACCUUAUGCUUUUGGAGCGGCCGAUGUCUGAUUAGCUAGUUGGUAAGGUAAUGGCUUACCAAGGCAACGAUCAGUAGUUGGUCUGAGAGGACGACCAGCCACACUGGGACUGAGACACGGCCCAGACUCCUACGGGAGGCAGCAGUGGGGAAUUUUGGACAAUGGGCGCAAGCCUGAUCCAGCAAUGCCGCGUGAGUGAAGAAGGCCUUCGGGUUGUAAAGCUCUUUCAGUUGAGAAGAAAAGAUUGUGACUAAUAAUUGCAAUUCAUGACGGUAUCAACAGAAGAAGCACCGGCUAACUACGUGCCAGCAGCCGCGGUAAUACGUAGGGUGCGAGCGUUAAUCGGAAUUACUGGGCGUAAAGGGUGCGCAGGCGGUUCUGUAAGUCAGAUGUGAAAUCCCCGGGCUUAACCUGGGAACUGCGUUUGAAACUACAAAGCUAG